UGGACGCAAUUACGCCGAGGCGUAAUUGAUUAUGAGGUUAAAAGGGAAGCCGGUUCAAUUCCGGCGCGGUCCCGCCACUGUAAGUGUGAGCGAGUCGUAGCACGUCACUGGAGAAAUCCGGGAAGACACGACAAGCAUUGAACACAAGCCAGGAGACCUGCCUUUAUAGAUCUCACCCA
rnacentral:ncRNA from 2 species